AGUGAACGCUGGCGGUAGGCCUAACACAUGCAAGUCGAACGGCAGCACAGUAAGAGCUUGCUCUUACGGGUGGCGAGUGGCGGACGGGUGAGGAAUACAUCGGAAUCUACUUUUUCGUGGGGGAUAACGUAGGGAAACUUACGCUAAUACCGCAUACGACCUACGGGUGAAAGCAGGGGAUCUUCGGACCUUGCGCGAUUGAAUGAGCCGAUGUCGGAUUAGCUAGUUGGCGGGGUAAAGGCCCACCAAGGCGACGAUCCGUAGCUGGUCUGAGAGGAUGAUCAGCGACACUGGAACUGAGACACGGACCAGACUCCUACGGGAGGCAGCAGUGGGGAAUAUUGGACAAUGGGCGCAAGCCUGAUCCAGCCAUACCGCGUGGGUGAAGAAGGCCUUCGGGUUGUAAAGCCCUUUUGUUGGGAAAGAAAAGCAGCAGGUUAAUACCCCGCUGUUCUGACGGUACCCAAAGAAUAAGCACCGGCUAACUUCGUG
rnacentral:rRNA from 1 species